rnacentral:rRNA from 1 species
UACGUAGGGGGCUAGCGUUGUCCGGAUUUAUUGGGCGUAAAGAGCUCGUAGGCGGUUCGAUAAGUCGGGUGUGAAACCUCCAGGCUCAACCUGGAGACGCCACCCGAUACUGUCGUGACUAGAGUCCAGUAGGGGAGCGUGGAAUUCCUGGUGUAGCGGUGAAAUGCGCAGAUAUCAGGAGGAACACCAGCGGCGAAGGCGGCGCUCUGGGCUGGAACUGACGCUGAGGAGCGAAAGCGUGGGGAGCGAACAGG